CUAAACUAUAACGUUUUGUCAUAUUUUGGACGACAUACUAAACUAUGACGUUUUGUCAUAUUUUGGACGACAUACUAAACUGAUGUUUUUGUCAUAUUUUGGAAGACAUACUAAACUAUGACAUUUUGGUCACAUUUUGGACGACAUACUAAACUAUGAAGGUUUUUUUCAUAUUUUGGAUGACAUACUAAACUAUGACAUUUUUGUCAUAUUUUGGAUGACAUACUAAAAUAUGACUUUUUUGUCAUAUUUUGGACGACAAACUAUGAUGUUUUUUUCAUGUUUUGGACGACUUACUAAACUGACGUUUUUGGUCACAUUUUGGACGACAUACUAAACUAUGACAUUUUUGUCAUAUUUUGGACGACAUACUAAACUAUGAAGGUUUUUUUCAUAUUUUGGAUGACAUACUAAACUGACUUUUUUUCACAUUUUGGACGACAUACUAAACUGUGAUGUUUUUGUCAUAUUUUGGACAACAUACUAAACUAUGAUGUUUUUUGUCAUAUUUUGGACGACAAACUAUGAUGUUUUUUUCAUGUUUUGGACGACUUACUAAACUGACGUUUUUGGUCACAUUUUGGACGACAUACUAAACUAUGACAUUUUUGUCAGAUUUUGGACGACAUACUAAACUAUGACGUUUUUGUCAUAUUUUGGAUGACAUACUAAACUGACGUUUUUUUCAUAUUUUGGACGACAUACUAAACUAUGACUUUUUUUCACAUUUUGGACGACAUACUAAACUAUGACGUUUUGUCAUAUUUUGGAUGACAUACUAAACUAUGACGUUUUUGUCAUACUUUGGAUGACAUACUAAACUAUGACAUUUUGGUCACAUUUUGGACGACAUACUAAACUAUGAAGGUUUUUUUCAUAUUUUGGAUGACAUACUAAACUAUGACAUAUUUGUCAUAUUUUGGAUGACAUACUAAACUAUGAAGGUUUUUUUCAUAUUUUGGAUGACAUACUAAACUAUGACUUUUUUUCACAUUUUGGACGACAUACUAAACUGACAUUUUUGUCAUAUUUUGGACGACAUACUAAAAUAUGACUUUUUUGUCAUAUUUUGGACGACAUACUAAACGAUGACGUUUUUGUCAUAUUUUGGACAACAUACUAAAAUAUGACGGUUUUGUUAUAUUUUGGACGACAUACUAAACUAUGACAUUUUUGUCAUAUUUUGGACGACAUACUAAACUGUGACAUUUUGGUCACAUUUUGGACGACAUGCUAAACUAUGACGUUUUUGUCAUAUUUUGAAUGACAUACUAAACUAUGACGUUUUUGUCAUAUUUUGGACGACAUACUAAACUGACGUUUUUGUCAUAUUUUGGACGACAUACUAAACUAUGACGUUUUUAUCAUAUUUUGGACGACAUACUAAACUAUGACAUUUUGGUCACAUUUUGGACGACAUACUAAACUAUGAAGGUUUUUUUCAUAUUUUGGAUGACAUACUAAACUAUGACUUUUUUUCACAUUUUGGACGACAUACUAAACUAUGAUGUUUUGGUCACAUUUUGGACAACAUACUAAACUAUGAUGUUUUUUUUCCACAUUUUUGAUGACAUACUAUGACGUUUUUUAUACAAUUUCGACAACAUACUAAAAGAUGACGUAUUUGUGAUAUCUUAGAUUACAUACUAAACUACUAGAAAAGUGGUUCGGAACAAGCCUGGAGAAGCUACAAACCAGACUGUCUUGCCCCUACAGUAAAACAUGGGGGUGGAUCAGUGAUGAUCUGGGGUAGUCUGGGUGGAACAAGGCAAAUGCAAUUGUGUGAAGGGUCAAUGCAGCAGGUCAUGUGCAGGGCUAGUCUUGAAAACAGUCUUCUUCCAUCAGCUGGAAAACUCUUUCCUGCCUCCAAUGACUGGAUUUUCCAACAAGACAAUGCCCCUUGUCACACGGCAAGGUCAGUUAAAGCCUGGAAGGAGAACCAGAACAUUGGAACCGUGCCUUGACCUGCUCAAUCAUCAGAUCUAAAUCCAACUGAAAACCUGUGGAAAGUCAUCAAACGCAAAAUGGAGAACCACAAGCUCAAAAACAAAGCAAAUGUGUUAGAAUUAGUACAACAGGAAUGGACUGCUGUGACAGCAGAACAAUGUCAGAAGCAGGUGGAGAGCAUGCCAAGAUGCAUGGCUGCAGUCAUCAGAAACAAUGGUAAUGCAAUCAAGUACUAACUCCUGUGUGGAUCAUGUGACUAAAACAAACAGAAAAAACAUUGAAUCCUAAAAGUUGUUUUUGCCAGUACAAUGCCAUAGCUAUUGAUGGAAGAACUUAAGGGAUUUUGGUUAUUAUCAAGAAAACUAUGCAAAAUGUCUAGAUAUCAGCUCUUAGAUUAAACCCUUAUGAGCUAUUGUUGUUAUCAUUACAUUUGUCCAAACAAAUGUACCUUUAGUUGUACCAGGCAUUUAAAUGAACAAGAAAUUUAACAAAACAAGGGUGGUCUAAUAAUUUUUUCCGUGACUGUAUAACUGAAUGGUUAAAGAUAACAAACGCCAUCCAGAAGAAAAUACGACUUAAAUAAUGGUACUUUCCUACCAAGUAUGUUAGUUUAUUUCAUGGAAGAUGCAAAAACAGAAAGAGACAAAGCUUUUGUUGUGUUGAUAUCUUUAUAAUGAAAUUCAUGAAGUAUACACAAUGCAUUCUACACUAUUACAAUUUCCACACGUUGAUAAUGUUUUUGUCGUUGGAUGAUAAAGCUACGUUUUGGCAUUUAAUUAACCAAACAGCAGUCAGACUGAGAAGCUCAGAGCUAGAAAACCAAAAAUAAAAGGAAAAUAAAACAUUAAAAACAUUGUGAAUUAAACUGUAGCAUGGCAGCAGGUAGGUGGGUACAAGUAACAUUAGUUAUAGUUAGGGAGUAGAAAAUCAUAAAACUUCAAUAUUCAUUUUUUAAAUGUUCGUUAUGUACAACCCAGUGCCUUUAGCGGGAUUUGUAGUAUAUUCCAGCCAAUCAGAUUCCACCUUUUCACAUGAGAUGCAAUUUACAGGAAGUUAAUCCUAGAAGCUUUUCUUCAGUUUUAUAUGCUGAAAUAGGAAUGAAAUUGGAAAAUUGUUGAAGACCAUUUUGAGUCAGCUAAAUCUGAAAACACACAAGCACUUUACGAGCUCCGCCCAUCUCCUCCAGACUGAUUUAGAGCGACUGUUUGACCUCCGGUGACUUCACUCUGAAGUCCUGCGACACCGAUCCACGCUGGAGGUGCAGAGUUACACUUCUGCUUGUUGACUGGCAUCUUUAUGUGUGUGACUUUUUCUGCUCCCUACAUUCACGACACCAUAUAUACACGUAUUUGCUCACACUCAUUCGCCGCCUGAAUAUUUAAAUCCUCUCCGUCCUCGGCAAACAUCUGCUUCUGCCUCCCGAACACGUCGAACACUCCGAGGCACGAAUUUAUCAAGGUGUUGGAAAUGUUUCACAGGGAUUUUGCUCCGCGCCCGUUUGAUAAAGCUGAUCAAUUCCUGCAGAUUUUUUUGUGAGCUGUGAGAUUCUUUUUGUGCUGCCGUUAUCCUGUUCCUGCUCGUCCCGAAGGUGCUCCGCUGAGCCGAGUGCAGGCAGCUGGAAAAAAUACAAGUUCCUGUCAUGUUGACGGAGCCAUCUUGAGACGACGCUUUAUCACACGACCAUGAGGAGAUGCACCCGGAGAGUAACGAAGUUAUCUGUGCCACCGACACUCAGGGACUCUAUUGUAGGCCAACAAUCCAAUCACCACCAGGUUCCACCCACGUACGAAUGCCAAGUUAUGAUAACACCAUCAGCACAUGACAACUAAAACUACAGUUUGCUGCAUUAAAUGACCUUUCCUGUUCAAAAACCAGGCAGUUUGGUGAUCAGACUAGCAAGGUAUCACCAGAAACAGAAGCUAAACCAAAAUUUAACCAUCCAUGCAUGGAAAUGUCUUUCUGCACUUUUAACUUCCUGUAUUUUGUGACUUUUGCAGCUUCUCAUCUUGAUAACCAAACAGUCUUUCAGAUCACAUAUCUCUGUCUGCACAUAGAUGUCAUGGAUGUCUGCUCCUACAGGCAAGUUAAAUUGUACAUUUUAUAUCCUAGAAGACACAUGACGAGUGAAAUAACAUGUCAAUACUGCAGCCAAGCAUUUACACCGUCUCAAAAACAGAUUCAGAUUUCUAGGGUUUCUAGGUCUAGGAUGUACGGCUGAAUUAGUCCAAUCCUACUUGACAUUGUGAAGCGUAGAGCAGCUUAACAGUGUUUGAACAAAGUCGUAGGUUAGCCAGUGUGCUCGAGCUGCAGCAAGUGACAAAACGGGGCUAAAGAGGUGAAAGUAAAGGAAAAUACGAAGAUUCAUAUUUAAGCCAUCAUCAGGCAGGAAUGGAAAAAAAUGUCUAAAUAUGCAUUCUUGAUCCACAUCGGUGAGUCUUUAGGGGUUAAAUCAACGAGCCACUCUAACAAGCAGGCUGUUCGGC
ensembl:lncRNA